rnacentral:sRNA from 1 species
UUACUUCCAUUGGUUUAAGUUGUUCUCUACAGAUUCAAAUUACUGACUCAACUCUUCGUUGUAUCUGAGCUGAAUAUUUCCCUGUCAACUUGAUACCAGCUUGGCUUACCUGGGAAGAGGAGGAGGAAGAGGAAGAGGAAGAAGAGGAGGAAGAGGAGGAGGAAACAAACAAACACAUCAAUGAAAAUCAAAUAUUACAGAUUUGCUAUAAACAAAAGCUUAUUUAGAGAUAAGCUCAGAAAUUUGCAUGGUCAUGAAAAUCACUCAAUCGUUGCAGUCAUUCUGCUCUUGGCAGUUGACAGAUGCUUGGAGAGAAGAGUAAAUUUUCCUUGAAGGGAAAGCCCUUCAUAAAUUGGACAUACUCCAGAGGAAGGCCAUACAUCCAACCAUAUGUGAGCAGCAUCAACAGCAUUGAAGCUUUAAAAAGAAAAAAGGA